AACCAUUAAGAUUGUUGCCCCGCUAUUGCAGUACGGUUAGGAAGUGUGCCAGGAAGUGAGGCUUCUUUUCUUCUUCCUCAAAACCUUGAUAAACGAGUUGCAGGGAUUUUAUUCUAGGAGAAGGGAGAUUGAAGAGUGCUACCCUCUCUCACCUGGGAGCUGGGAUCUUGCAGGCGUAGUUUUCUCUUCCCAUCACUCCAUUGGAUCUCUCGUCCCUGAGAUCUCUCCUAACUGGUACAAGCCCUGAUUCCUGCUCUAUGAGACCAUCUUUAAAGUGCCUUUUUACCUAGCACACUAGGAAAAAUGAUGGAAGAAAAGAUGCCAUUAGUUGAGCCACAAAAGCAUACAAAAGUUACGGAGAAAAGUCACCUACGGAUCAAUGAUUUACCAAAUUGGAUGAGCUAUCACCAUGUGCCUUAUGCGAGGAUGGAUUUUCUUCUUCUUCGGGGAGUCAUUUUGUUGAUGGGCUUGUUCAUAUGCUUUUUCAUCCCAAACACAAAGAAAAUACAAGAAGACCAGUACGUUGAGAACGCAUGGAAUAAACACUGGUUUUGGAGAAGAUUAAUAUCAUGGACAAGAAUGGGGGAGAAGAGGUCUUGUUUUAGGGGAGCAACAUCUCUCUCUAUGGUGAAUGGCAUGACAUAUCUCUUUCGCCUUUUAUGCUCUGAGUUUUGGUCUUUUUUAGGAAUGCCCUAUGGAAUGUAAUUGGGACGCUCAUGAAUAGUGGCUGUUGUAACAUGUUGAUGACUAGAGUGAUGAUUCAACUAUAACUAUAUAUGGUGUGCCAUUUUUAAGGAUGGAUUUUUCUUUGCGGAAUUCGUACAGAGAAAAUAGCGGAACACUGGUUCGCUGACAACUUGUGGAAAAAACACUAGUACUGUAAAAGAUUGGUAGUUGAUGCCAAUAAGAUCAUGGAGGAGCAUGGGGGAGUGGAUAUCGGGGGAGGGGCAAAGGGGACAUAAUCUCCAGAUCCUCCUUUUAAGGAGACACUUUGGGAGCAUCGGCAAGACUCAAGGGAUAGGGUUGGAAGGAAGUUGAAGAUAGGUAAAAAGAUUUUGUGCAAUUUUCUUUUUUAUCAUAUUUAUAAGGAAGAAAUUGUUCAUAGAUACGUAGUGUUGUGCGGUGGCAAUAUUACUUAGACAUGGAUUUAUUAGGUAUUGCUCAUGAGAUUGAAAAAAACUUCUUUCGGGAUUGAUGACUCUUCUAUUAAAGGAGGGUCAUCUCCCUGUCUGGUUUUCCUGGUUUGCUGAUUCUCCUCAGCCUUCUUAUUUAUUUGUGAUUUUUUGCACAUUAGUGUUCUGCUUUUAUUUUAAUGAUUGUGAGCUAACUGAUUUUAUGUUUCUAAUUUUGGGCUAAUUAUUUGUAAUUUUGAGCUUUUAUUUCAAUAUGACCAGUACUAUAGAAACUGGAACACAAAAAUGAUCUUCAUCUCCUCUUUUUCUUGGGUGUUGUUCUAUCACUUAACCUGCAGAUCUAGUACUCAUUUCUUUUCUUUUUUCACUCUCCCUCUUGCUCCUUGAUCUCUUGCGGCAUGACUUCAUUUUCCUCCCGACCUAUAUAUCGAUUAUCUAUUCAUAGCAUCUCCAAUAUUCAUACUAUCUUCUAUGGAAGACUCCAUCUGAAGCUAAUCAGCUAUUACCAUAAAUCUAAUUGGAUAUGUUUAGGAACCCUCAGUCUCCAUGAAGUUACACCAGACUCAUCAAACAACUACUCUUUGAAUCCAGCCUGUAGUAAUUAGUGUUAGAAUGACAGGAAGCGUUUUAUAGAUGCAACUCUCACUAAGAAACUUGUUGCUCAAUCCCUCAAACUAUUCUUAUAGGAACCUAUAUGAUUGUUUUUUUUUUUUUUUUUUUUGUUUUUAAGUCCUUUGAUCCUUCUAUAGCUCUUUGAAACUAGGAAACCCUAACCCACAAAUUGUUUAAGUUAAUUUUUUUAGAACCGUGGCUUGAGAAGAUACAUAGGCAUUGCUAGAGAAAUAACAAAUUAGCAAACGUGCUGAACAAAUAGACAGUAAGGAAAAAAGAAAUGGUGGAGAUAGCUGCAGAGACUUUCAGAGGUGAACAGUCUCUUUUGACUUUUGCAUCCAUGCUUUAGUUUAAGCAAGACUAGUGCUUCGUUUUAGAUACAAUAUGCAUCUGAACUUAUGAAAACUGUGUUAGAGUUCAUAAAUUGCAGGUUAGGAGGGAUUGGGGAGAUACUCAAUUUACCUUCAUUGCAAUGAAAUACGUCCCCUAGAUAUUUGAUUAUCACAGGUUAUGUAUUAGUUAAUGCUGCGGCUGCCUUUUCCCCCUUAUAUAUCCUAAUUUGGUGAAAACAAACUUAGAAACUAGAUCAAAGAGGGACAGGAUCAUUAUCCAAAACUUUAAAUUCCAAUGAUGCCUUCAUUAUAUGGAUUCUCUAGGAACUUGUUUAUGCAAUAUUGUGGCUUAGGCAGCUGCUUGGUCUUACACAAGUCCUAUUUAACUAAAGCAUGCCUGCAGAAGUAGUAAAGCACAACUUAAUGCAACUUUCAAUUUCUACAAGGGUGAACAUGGCACCUCCAUCACCAAUGUAUGUGUAACAAGUUAAUAACUUAAACAUCUAUGUAAGAAACUUACAUUUGUUGAGUUCUAUCUGAUGUAAUUACAUUUUACUCUAGUAUGACCUCAAAUAGAGCUGUUUGGAUGGCAAAGAUUCAUGUAACCAACUCAUUUGGUUGGGAAUAUGCUAAGUUGUUGUUUGUUGUCGUAGCUGAUUGGGGGUUCCUGCUGAUGAGUUCUUAGAGGCAUUGCUUAUAGCAAUCUGAUGCAUCUGUGAUCCUCAUUAAGUAUUUUGAAAAGGUGUUUCGCAAUGCAAUUAACAUGGCAAGGAUGGUUGAAGACCAUCACAAUCACUACACAUGCGAACAAAGAUUUGAAGAAUUCACUUCAGUUGUAUAAGAAGAGAAACAAUGUAACUCUUGAACAUGCCAUAGUCAAGGAAACUUCAGGAAACCACAUUGAAGCAAGCGCAAGGUCUCUCAUUUACGGGUUGAUGAAAGCUAAAAAUUGUGGAUGGCAGAUCAAGGAAGUUUGGAGCAAUUUUUUAAACAUGGAAUCGAAUAUCUGAUUAUUUUUUGCACAUUCCCAAAUUGGUCUUAAAAACCUUAGAAUCGGUCAUUUUAGAAUGAUCUGAAUUGUGAUUGAUCACACCCGUCCAAUUCAACCAAGGAUUUUAAAUCAGUUCGUAGUAA